UCCGAAUUUAUAUCUCUUAUAUUUUUCAAAAAAACUAAAAAAUAUAAUUCACAUUAUUUUCUUAUCCUCGUAUCAUGAUUUAUCAAGUAAUAGUAUAUACUAUAUAGCAUGCAAGUCCGUUUUAUCUCAUUUAAUCAUCCGUUGUUGUACAAUCAGUCAUCUAUAAUUGUGAAAAAAUGAUUGUACAUACUAUAUUUUUUAAAAUAAUUUAAAAAUUUUAAUUCACAUCAUUUGCCACUUUUAUAUCAUGCAUAAUUCUAUCUAGC
rnacentral:lncRNA from 1 species